rnacentral:rRNA from 1 species
GCUAAAAANUGCAGUCGAGCGAGCUUGCCUAGAUGAUUUUAGUGCUUGCACUAAAUGAAACUAGAUACAAGCGAGCGGCGGACGGGUGAGUAACACGUGGGUAACCUGCCCAAGAGACUGGGAUAACACCUGGAAACAGAUGCUAAUACCGGAUAACAACACUAGACGCAUGUCUAGAGUUUGAAAGAUGGUUCUGCUAUCACUCUUGGAUGGACCUGCGGUGCAUUAGCUAGUUGGUAAGGUAACGGCUUACCAAGGCAAUGAUGCAUAGCCGAGUUGAGAGACUGAUCGGCCACAUUGGGACUGAGACACGGCCCAAACUCCUACGGGAGGCAGCAGUAGGGAAUCUUCCACAAUGGACGAAAGUCUGAUGGAGCAACGCCGCGUGAGUGAAGAAGGGUUUCGGCUCGUAAAGCUCUGUUGGUAGUGAAGAAAGAUAGAGGUAGUAACUGGCCUUUAUUUGACGGUAAUUACUUAGAAAGUCACGGCUAACUACGUGCCAGCAGCCGCGGUAAUACGUAGGUGGCAAGCGUUGUCCGGAUUUAUUGGGCGUAAAGCGAGUGCAGGCGGUUCAAUAGGUCUGAUGUGAAAGCCUUCGGCUCAACCGGAGAAUUGCAUCAGAAACUGUUGAACUUGAGUGCAGAAGAGGAGAGUGGAACUCCAUGUGUAGCGGUGGAAUGCGUAGAUAUAUGGAAGAACACCAGUGGCGAAGGCGGCUCUCUGGUCUGCAACUGACGCUGAGGCUCGAAA